rnacentral:rRNA from 1 species
UACGGAGGGAGCUAGCGUUGUUCGGAUAUACUGGGCGUAAAGCGCACGUAGGCGGCGCAGCAAGUCAGGGGUGAAAUCCCGGAGCUCAACUCCGGAACUGCCUUUGAAACUGCAGUGCUAGAAUCCUGGAGAGGCGAGUGGAAUUCCGAGUGUAGAGGUGAAAUUCGUAGAUAUUCGGAAGAACACCAGUGGCGAAGGCGACUCGCUGGACAGGUAUUGACGCUGAGGUGCGAAAGCGUGGGGAGCAAAGAGG